rnacentral:rRNA from 1 species
UGGAAAGCGAAGGUACCACUUAAAGUCAAAAUAUUCAUGUGGUAUCUCCGUAGGAGAGUUGUGCUAACAAAAGACAACCUCACACGACACAACUGGUCGGGAAGUAAGAAGUGUUGUUUUUGUACUCAUGACGAGACAAUCAAACACCUCUUUUUGCAAUGUAAGUUUGCACGUUCUACGUGGUCAGCCAUCCAAAUAGCGUCAAAUUUGUCGCCCACAAGUGUUGCCAAUAUUUUUGGUCAUUGGCUGGACGACAUUUCAAAUAGGUACAAAACGCUAAUAAGGGUGGGUGCGUAUGCCUUAUUAUGGUCGCUUUGGCUAUGUAGAAAUGAUGUUGUUUUUAAUGACAAAAAUGCUUCUCCUUUGCAGGUUAUUUUCCAUUGUACGCACUCGCUUCAUACAUGGUGUACGCUAGAACAAGCGGAGUACCAACCGUUGUUCAAGGCGGGUGUACGUUGUUGGAGCAGGUGGCUACGGAGGGUUUUUACCCAACAUGGGUGGCAGCAUAAUCUCCGGAUCGGUCCACCAUCUAUUUCGACAUAG